CUCAUGCUCUCUAACACUAAGGACUGAGGCUACAUGACCUCCUGCACAUCUGCAUGGGGAAAGAGAGACUGCUCCUCCAUACAAAGGCUCAUCACAUGAUACAAAUAAUGGGAGAAUCAGAAAUAUCUGUGCUAAGUCUGUCUCAUUCCAAUAAGAACAAAAACAACAACAACAACAGAAAAGGUAUCGAGAAGGCUUCUUCUGAAAUACAGUUCUGCUCUGCAAAAUGACACUGCAUGGUAACUGUUGAGUCACAGCCUGAACCACUGAUUGAUCACCUGGGGAAAGGACCAGGUCAGCCCUGAGAGCACAGGUGAAGGCAAUUAAUCUGUGUGACCAGAAGGGGUGGAGCCUGGCUCCAACUCUCCUAGAUCCCA
ensembl:lncRNA